rnacentral:rRNA from 1 species
GAUGAACGCUAGCGGCAGGCUUAACACAUGCAAGUCGAGGGGUAUUGGUUUUCGGACCAAGAGACCGGCGCACGGGUGCGUAACGCGUAUGCAAUCUACCUUUUGCAGAGGGAUAGCCCAGAGAAAUUUGGAUUAAUACCUCAUAGUAUAGUACCUUGGCAUCAAGGAACUAUUAAAGUCACAACGGCAAAAGAUGAGCAUGCGUCCCAUUAGCUAGUUGGUAAGGUAACGGCUUACCAAGGCGACGAUGGGUAGGGGUCCCGAGAGGGAGAUCCCCCACACUGGUACUGAGACACGGACCAGACUCCUACGGGAGGCAGCAGUGAGGAAUAUUGGACAAUGGGCGCAAGCCUGAUCCAGCCAUGCCGCGUGCAGGAUGACGGUCCUAUGGAUUGUAAACUGCUUUUAUAUGGGAGCAAUAAGGUCUACGCGUAGACCGAUGAGAGUACCAUAUGAAUAAGCAUCGGCUAACUACGUGCCAGC